rnacentral:rRNA from 1 species
UACGGAGGGUGCAAGCGUUAAUCGGAAUUACUGGGCGUAAAGCGUGCGCAGGCGGUUAUAUAAGACAGAUGUGAAAUCCCCGGGCUCAACCUGGGAACUGCAUUUGUGACUGUAUAGCUAGAGUACGGUAGAGGGGGAUGGAAUUCCGCGUGUAGCAGUGAAAUGCGUAGAUAUGCGGAGGAACACCGAUGGCGAAGGCAAUCCCCUGGACCUGUACUGACGCUCAUGCACGAAAGCGUGGGGAGCAAACAGG